AAUAGAUACCCGGUACGUCCACGCCGUAAACGAUGAGUGCUAAGUGUUAGAGGGUUUCCGCCCUUUAGUGCUGCAGCUAACGCAUUAAGCACUCCGCCUGGGGAGUACGGUCGCAAGACUGAAACUCAAAGGAAUUGACAGGGGCCCGCACAAGCGGUGGAGCAUGUGGUUUAAUUCGAAGCAACGCGAAGAACCUUACCAGGUCUUGACAUCCCACUGACCGGUAUAGAGAUAUACCUUUCCCUUCGGGGACAGUGGUGACAGGUGGUGCAUGGUUGUCGUCAGCUCGUGUCGUGAGAUGUUGGGUUAAGUCCCGCAACGAGCGCAACCCUUGAUCUUAGUUGCCAGCAUUUAGUUGGGCACUCUAAGGUGACUGCCGGUGACAAACCGGAGGAAGGUGGGGAUGACGUCAAAUCAUCAUGCCCCUUAUGACCUGGGCUACACACGUGCUACAAUGGAUGGUACAAAGGGCUGCAAGACUGCGAAGUCAAGCCAAUCCCAUAAAACCAUUCUCAGUUCGGAUUGCAGG
rnacentral:rRNA from 1 species